rfam:Leptospirillum ferrooxidans C2-3 DNA, complete genome.
CCCACUGUUCAGCCAGUGGAGCCCACCGACACAUGCGGGAGGAGUAAUCGUCCGGUAUGAAGCUGUCGGAAACGUACCCGCGGGGAACCGUAGGACAAGUCGUGAGAGGAAUCCGAACCUGGUAGCAACGACCGGGGAGGGGC